UGCUUAACCACGAACUCGACAUAAAGUGUUGUAUAAAUCUGCUGUAAGACAUGAGUUAAAGAAUCUAUCUUUGGAUUUGUAAUGAAAAUCAAACGUAGAUUCGUAGGUGUUUCGUAAAAAUGUAGUUUGUAUUUGCUGGUCGUAUAGGACAUGAAUUGAUCUUGGUCAGCUGUGAUUUUCUUUACCAUAUUUCUCAAGGAAAAUACUACACCAAAAAUGAGUUUCUCCAUGUCAUCUUCAAUAGAAUUUUGUUCCAACUGAGAAACUAACGUUUCCAUAGAGUUGCGAUCCGAGGGUUUCCACCUAUGUGCGAAAACACAUUCACCUACAUUUUUGUUAGUUGAAUCAUGUGGCAAGCCUAAUAAAGCAUACAUUUUCUGCUAUAAAUAUAAAAGGCAUAAAUAGUCAUAAUAAAUACUACAGGAAAAAGACGGAUAAUAUCGAGAAUGCUAAUGAUGAUUUGCUAAGUCGUGACUUUUGGUGUACUAAGUAAGGGCUCUGGCUAACAGCGUGCAGUCAAGCAUUAUCUCAGUUGGACGAUGCUAUCAUUGAACAUAUUCGGUAAAAGCAACUUUAUUUAUAGUUAAACUAAAGAAAGCAAAUUAUUUAGACCACAAUCAGCAAGUGGUCUUCGAACGUUGGACUGUUGCAGCUAAAUGGAUUUAAAAUAAAAAAAUAAAGCGUUUAAGUUCUGUCCAAAAAUUGGCGGCUUCCUAUACACUCAUUAUUUGAAAUGAGUUUACACGAUUCCGACAAGCAAAUUAACUUUUUCAACUGUUAACUGCUAGUAUUGUAGGUAUCAAUAAAUACAUAUAAUAUUUCUAUUGUAAAUUAGUUACCAAUAUGAAGGGAUAUUAUAUCCCGGCUUCAACACCAGCGCUGACAAACUAAGGG